rnacentral:rRNA from 1 species
UACGUAGGGGGCAAGCGUUGUCCGGAAUCAUUGGGCGUAAAGAGCGCGCAGGCGGUCGUUCAAGUCGAGUGUGAAAGCCCCCGGCUCAACUGGGGAGGGUCAUUCGAUACUGAUCGACUUGAAGGCAGGAGAGGGAAGUGGAAUUCCUGGUGUAGCGGUGAAAUGCGCAGAUAUCAGGAAGAACACCUAUGGCGAAGGCAGCUCUCUGGGACGGUACUGACGCUGAGACGCGAAAGCGUGGGGAGCGAACAGG